GAAGAACAGAAACCUGAAAGAGUAAAGC
rnacentral:piRNA from 1 species